GACGAACGCUGGCGGCGUGCUUAACACAUGCAAGUCAAGGGGGCCCAGCAAUGGGCAACCGGCGAACGGGUGCGUAACACGUGAGCAAUCUGCCGUUCUUGUGGGGGAUAGCCGGCCCAACGGCCGGGUAAUACCGCAUACGCUUUUCUGGAGACACCUCCUAGAAAGGAAACCCUUCGGGGGCAAGACGAGGAGCUCGCGGCCUAUCAGCUAGUUGGUGCGGUCAUGGCGCACCAAGGCGACGACGGGUAGCUGGUCUGAGAGGAUGGCCAGCCACAUUGGGACUGAGAAACGGCCCAGACUCCUACGGGAGGCAGCAGUGGGGAAUCUUGCGCAAUGGGCCUAACGGGCUGACGCAGCGACGCCGCGUGU
rnacentral:rRNA from 1 species